rnacentral:rRNA from 1 species
UACAGAGGUCUCAAGCGUUGUUCGGAUUCAUUGGGCGUAAAGGGUGCGUAGGUGGCGGGGCAAGUCUGGUGUGAAAUCCCGGGGCUCAACCCUGGAACUGCACUGGAUACUGCUUUGCUAGAGUACUGGAGAGGGAACUGGAAUUUACGGUGUAGCAGUGAAAUGCGUAGAUAUCGUAAGGAAGACCAGUGGCGAAGGCGAGUUCCUGGACAGUUACUGACACUGAGGCACGAAGGCCAGGGAGCAAACGGG